AUUUAGUGGAUUUUUGGAGAGCACUAUAGGGAUAACCAAAAAGAAGAUCAAUAAUUGAGCUCUGCAAAUCGUUUCGCUUUCUCUCCAUCUUCCGUACUCAGGUUUUCUGCAAACGUUAUUGAUUUAUCUUUCUUGUUUAGCCAUCAACUGCUCUCUACUCUUCACUCCAUUUCAAUUUCUAAUUUCUUCACUUCAUAUUCACCUCGCUCUCAAACUCUUUUGUGAUUGUCUUUG
rnacentral:misc_RNA from 1 species